rnacentral:lncRNA from 1 species
UCUAUAAGUGCAUCUUAUGCAUUUGCUGCUUCUUUUUCAGCAUCUGCUGGUUAUCAAGAUACGUUUAAUAGUAUUUCGAAAAACAAAACUAAAAUAUUUAUGCUAAAAAGUUAUUGUUUUAAAUAUGUUGCAUUUUUAUCUCAGUAUGCCCAAUGGAAAUUAACUGAUCAAUUUGUAAGAGCUAUUAAUCUACUUCCUUCUUAUUUUAAUUCUUUAGAGCAUGAUGGUCUUUUUUGUGAAGUGGAUGAUUACAAAAGUGAUCCUAAAACAUCCAAAUGUGGAAAAAGUGUUGAAUCGUGGAUGUUUUUUUUUAAAAGUUUCGGUACACAUGUUUCAACGGUCAUACAUUUAGGAGGAAAAAUAACACAACAAGUAAAAAUAUCAAAAAGUGCUUACAAAACAUUAAGUCAACAAUCAGUUAAUGUUUCUGUAGGAGUAUCUGGUAGGUAUGGUUUAUUUAGUGCAUCUGCAUCUGUAGAUACUAGUGUUAAUACAUCCAAUACGCAAGAAAAUUCAGAAUCGAGUGUAGAUAAAGAAACUAUAAUAAUAGGAGGAGUCACUAUUUAUGAUCCUAAUAAUUCUAAAAAUUUUGAAAAAUGGGCUGAAAGUAUAAAAGAUAACCCUAUGCCUAUAAAAGGACAAUACGAACCACUAUCACGUAUUUUACCUGUCCGAUUAAUAGAUGUAUAUCACCAAGCAGUACAAUUCUAUACUUCAGUACAUACUCCUUUACAAAUACAAUUUAGUAAAGACGUUGAUGUAAAAAGCAUUGAUUUAAAAAAAAGGAUAAAAAAUGCAAAUACAAAAUAUAUUAGUGGACCUGGAUUAAAUGUAAUAGAAUGUCCCACUAAAUCAAAUUUUCUUUUUGGAUUUACAUUAACAGUUCCAAUAAGUUUUAAAAAUAUAGACGAAUUUCAUUUAGGUGAAUGUGAGUAUGGUUCCGAUAGAUGCUACUCAAAAAUGAGUAAUGACUCAUAUAGUUAUUUAUUUGGUGUGUGUGAUGAAAAUACUAUACCUUAUUUAGAACAAAAAACAAUAUCAGGUAAAGGUUUACAAAAGCUUAAGUGUACAGAAAAAAACCAAAUAGUUCUAUUUGGAUUUGGUAUUAGUAUACUAAAUUCAGAUGAUCCUACAUCUAUUUCAAUGUAUGCAUGCAAAUAUGGUAGUAGGUUUUGUACUAUGCAAGGGUCUUCUGCAAACUCAGCUGUAGGUUUAUGGAUUGUAUGUGGU